rnacentral:lncRNA from 1 species
UCCCUGGGCAAGCUAGUUGCUGAGCUGCACAGAUCUUUGCAUUUUCUGGGCUGUUCCCGUGUUCCAUUCCUCCCCUUCCAGGACAAUAUUUGAACAAGACGUAUUUUACUAAAGGUCUCCUGGAUUGCUGGCUCUACGACAUCGCCUCAUAGAAGCACUCAAUGGUUUGUUCCAGAUUCAGGCUUGUUCCAGGAAGAAACCCUGACAGAAAUUCAGAAGAGCAGGAGCUGCAUUCAGUUAGGACAUGAAUACAUGAAAUGCUCCUCUCAUGACCUCCUAGAAGAAUGAGCUGGGGCCCACUUUCUGAGUCCUGCUGGAACCAGAGACCAAGCUGUACCUGUGACACAGGACACGAGAGAAUGUGCUCAUGUGAACACAAGUGAAGGACACUGUGGGGACUUGCCACACAGGUAAUUUUGGAUUUUUUCUCUU